CUACGGGGUGCAGCAGUGGGGAAUAUUGCACAAUGGAGGAAACUCUGAUGCAGCAACGCCGCGUGGAGGAUGACACUUCUCGGAGCGUAAACUCCUUUUAUAUAGGAAGAAGAUGACGGUACUAUAUGAAUAAGCGCCGGCUAACUCCGUGCCAGCAGCCGCGGUAAUACGGAGGGCGCAAGCGUUACUCGGAAUCACUGGGCGUAAAGAGCGUGUAGGCGGAUUAAAAAGUCAGAAGUGAAAUCCUAUAGCUUAACUAUAGAACUGCUUCUGAAACUCUUAAUCUAGAAUAUGGGAGAGGUAGAUGGAAUUUCUGGUGUAGGGGUAAAAUCCGUAGAGAUCAGAAGGAAUACCGAUUGCGAAGGCGAUCUACUAGAACAUUAUUGACGCUGAGACGCGAAAGCGUGGGGAGCAAACAGGAUUAGAUACCCGCGUAGUC
rnacentral:rRNA from 1 species